rnacentral:lncRNA from 1 species
GGCUUGUUUCUUUCUUGAGCAUUUUAUUUCAAAAUAUAUUUUCAACAUUAUUAAUGCAAUGCCAAUUCAUUGAAACAGAAAACAAUGUUUUCAACAUUAAAUAUACCAGUCUGGCUGAACAAACCUGAUAUUAACUGUUAAUGCAAUAUUUCACUCUUGAGGUUAGAUUAGUCAAACAGUUAUGUCAGGUACCUCUGACUUAAUGAGUUUCUAUUCAAAGGAGUAGGUCCAGUAAGACCCUUUUUUGACCCCAAAAUAUAGCAGUUUUACAAAAUUGUUAAAAUGUAAACUUUUAGUUAUUU